GGGGUCCACAGGAGGGCUUCCUGUGAACAAUGGAGGGACGGAUGUGUUUGACUCCAUCAAUCCCACCUUUCAAUCCACCGUGUGUCUCCGCACUUUUUGCCUUUGGCUUUCUAGAGGGGCCGUUAGCCCACAUCGAUCUGGGCUUGGCUUUUCUGUUUCCAGAAUUUUCUUCCGUUGCUUCAGUUGCCAAUGGGAUCUGUCUUCUAGUCUGGUUUGCCACAACCAACAAAGUUUAAGCUCAACUUCAGCACAUUCUGAGCCAGAAAAUGAAGACCAGACAGUUGAAUGGGAAAAUGAAAAGGAGUGUGAACUAUCCUAAGGGAGACAAGAAAAAAUGAGGCAGAGGAAGUGCCUUCGAACAACGAGCAAGGAAAGAAAGAAAAAAAAUGAGAAUACCACCUCAACAGUCCAGAAAUGCCUGGCAUUUGUGAGACCUCGGGUUUAAUUCCCAGUACUGGAGAAGUUUAAAUUAAAAUAUGUAUGUACAAGA
rnacentral:lncRNA from 1 species